rnacentral:rRNA from 1 species
AUUGAACGCUGGCGGCAUGCCUAAUACAUGCAAGUCGAACGGGGUAGCAAUACCUAGUGGCGCACGGGUGAGUAACGCGUGGAUAAUCUGCCUUAGAGUGGGGGAUAACUAGUCGAAAGAUUAGCUAAUACCGCAUAAGACCACAAGAACUGCGGUUCAAGGGGUCAAAGGUUUUUCGCUCUAAGAUGAGUCCGCGUAAGAUUAGCUAGUUGGUGAGGUAAUGGCUCACCAAGGCGACGAUCUUUAACUGGUCUGAGAGGAUGAUCAGUCACACUGGAGCUGAGACACGGUCCAGACUACUACGGGAGGCAGCAGUAGGGAAUAUUGCACAAUGGAGGAAACUCUGAUGCAGCGACGCCGCGUGAGUGAUGAAGGCCUUCGGGUCGUAAAGCUCUGUCGCAGGGGAAUAACACAAUGAAUGUACCCUGUAAGAAAGGAUCGGCUAACUUCGUGCCAGCCGCCGCGGUAAAAC